GAUGAACGCUGGCGGCGUGCCUAAUACAUGCAAGUCGAGCGAACAGAUAAGGAGCUUGCUCCUUUGACGUUAGCGGCGGACGGGUGAGUAACACGUGGAUAACCUACCUAUAAGACUGGGAUAACUUCGGGAAACCGGAGCUAAUACCGGAUAAGAUUUUGAACCGCAUGGUUCUAUAGUGAAAGACGGCCUUGCUGUCACUUAUAGAUGGAUCCGCGCCGUAUUAGCUAGUUGGUAAGGUAACGGCUUACCAAGGCAACGAUACGUAGCCGACCUGAGAGGGUGAUCGGCCACACUGGAACUGAGACACGGUCCAGACUCCUACGGGAGGCAGCAGUAGGGAAUCUUCCGCAAUGGGCGAAAGCCUGACGGAGCAACGCCGCGUGAGUGAUGAAGGUCUUCGGAUCGUAAAACUCUGUUAUCAGGGAAGAACAAACGUGUAAGUAACUGUGCACGUCUUGACGGUACCUGAUCAGAAAGCCACGGCUAACUACGUG
rnacentral:rRNA from 1 species